rnacentral:rRNA from 1 species
AUUGAACGCUGGCGGCAGGCCUAACACAUGCAAGUCGAGCGGAUGAAGGGAGCUUGCUCCUGGAUUCAGCGGCGGACGGGUGAGUAAUGCCUAGGAAUCUGCCUGGUAGUGGGGGAUAACGUCCGGAAACGGGCGCUAAUACCGCAUACGUCCUGAGGGAGAAAGUGGGGGAUCUUCGGACCUCACGCUAUCAGAUGAGCCUAGGUCGGAUUAGCUAGUUGGUGGGGUAAAGGCCUACCAAGGCGACGAUCCGUAACUGGUCUGAGAGGAUGAUCAGUCACACUGGAACUGAGACACGGUCCAGACUCCGACGGGAGGCAGCAGUGGGGAAUAUUGGACAAUGGGCGAAAGCCUGAUCCAGCCAUGCCGCGUGUGUGAAGAAGGUCUUCGGAUUGUAAAGCGCUUUAAGUUGGGAGGAAGGGCAGUAAGUUAAUACCUUGCUAUUUUGACGUUACCAGCAGAAUAAGCACCGGCUAACUUCGUG